rnacentral:rRNA from 1 species
UAGGGAAUCUUCCGCAAUGGGCGAAAGCCUGACGGAGCAACGCCGCGUGAGUGAUGAAGGUUUUCGGAUCGUAAAGCUCUGUUGCCAAGGAAGAACGUCUUCUAGAGUAACUGCUAGGAGAGUGACGGUACUUGAGAAGAAAGCCCCGGCUAACUACGUGCCAGCAGCCGCGGUAAUACGUAGGGGGCAAGCGUUGUCCGGAAUUAUUGGGCGUAAAGCGCGCGCAGGCGGUUCUUUAAGUCUGGUGUUUAAACCCGAGGCUCAACUUCGGGUCGCACUGGAAACUGGGGAACUUGAGUGCAGAAGAGGAGAGUGGAAUUCCACGUGUAGCGGUGAAAUGCGUAGAUAUGUGGAGGAACACCAGUGGCGAAGGCGACUCUCUGGGCUGUAACUGACGCUGAGGCGCGAAAGCGUGGGGAGCAAACAGG